CCUACGGGAGGCAGCAGUGAGGAAUAUUGGACAAUGGGCGCAAGCCUGAUCCAGCCAUGCCGCGUGCAGGAAGACGGUCCUAUGGAUUGUAAACUGCUUUUAUACAGGAAGAAAUACUUUCUCGUGAGAGAGCUUGACGGUACUGUAAGAAUAAGGAUCGGCUAACUCCGUGCCAGCAGCCGCGGUAAUACGGAGGGUCCAAGCGUUAUCCGGAAUCAUUGGGUUUAAAGGGUCCGUAGGCGGUUUAAUAAGUCAGUGGUGAAAUCUGGUCGCUCAACGAUCAAACGGCCAUUGAUACUGUUAGACUUGAAUUAUUGUGAAGUAACUAGAAUAUGUAGUGUAGCGGUGAAAUGCUUAGAUAUUACAUGGAAUACCAAUUGCGAAGGCAGGUUACUAACAAUGGAUUGACGCUGAUGGACGAAAGCGUGGGGAGCGAACAGGAUUAGAUACCCUGGUAGUCCACGCCGUAAACGAUGGAUACUAGCUGUUGGGCGCAAGUUCAGUGGCUAAGCGAAAGUGAUAAGUAUCCCACCUGGGGAGUACGUUCGCAAGAAGAGAAGACAAGUAGAAGUUAGUACGGCGUAGAGACGAGCCGACGGACGACGACGAGGGAGGAGGNG
rnacentral:rRNA from 1 species